GGGUUGUGAGGUUAAGCGACUAAGCGUACACGGUGGAUGCCCUGGCAGUCAGAGGCGAUGAAGGACGUGCUAAUCUGCGAUAAGCGCCGGUAAGGUGAUAUGAACCGUUAUAACCGGCGAUUUCCGAAUGGGGAAACCCAGUGUGACUCGUCACACUAUCAUUAACUGAAUCCAUAGGUUAAUGAGGCGAACCGGGGGAACUGAAACAUCUAAGUACCCCGAGGAAAAGAAAUCAACCGAGAUUCCCCCAGUAGCGGCGAGCGAACGGGGAGGAGCCCAGAGCCUGAAUCAGCAUGUGUGUUAGUGGAAGCGUCUGGAAAGGCGCGCGAUACAGGGUGACAGCCCCGUACACAAAAGCGCAUGUGCUGUGAGCUCGAUGAGUAGGGCGGGACACGUGGUAUCCUGUCUGAAUAUGGGGGGACCAUCCUCCAAGGCUAAAUACUCCUGACUGACCGAUAGUGAACCAGUACCGUGAGGGAAAGGCGAAAAGAACCCCGGCGAGGGGAGUGAAAAAGAACCUGAAACCGUGUACGUACAAGCAGUGGGAGCACCCUUCGGGGUGUGACUGCGUACCUUUUGUAUAAUGGGUCAGCGACUUAUAUUCUGUAGCAAGGUUAACCGUAUAGGGGAGCCGUAGGGAAACCGAGUCUUAACCGGGCGUUAAGUUGCAGGGUAUAGACCCGAAACCCGGUGAUCUAGCCAUGGGCAGGUUGAAGGUUGGGUAACACUAACUGGAGGACCGAACCGACUAAUGUUGAAAAAUUAGCGGAUGACCUGUGGCUGGGGGUGAAAGGCCAAUCAAACCGGGAGAUAGCUGGUUCUCCCCGAAAGCUAUUUAGGUAGCGCCUCGUGAAUUCAUCUCCGGGGGUAGAGCACUGUUUCGGCUAGGGGGCCAUCCCGGCUUACCAACCCGAUGCAAACUGCGAAUACCGGAGAAUGUUAUCACGGGAGACACACGGCGGGUGCUAACGUCCGUCGUGAAGAGGGAAACAACCCAGACCGCCAGCUAAGGUCCCAAAGUCAUAGUUAAGUGGGAAACGAUGUGGGAAGGCCCAGACAGCCAGGAUGUUGGCUUAGAAGCAGCCAUCAUUUAAAGAAAGCGUAAUAGCUCACUGGUCGAGUCGGCCUGCGCGGAAGAUGUAACGGGGCUAAAC
rnacentral:rRNA from 1 species